CACGUAGGGCGCGAGCGUGUCCGGAAUUAUUGGGCGUAAAGAGCUCGUAGGCGGCCUGUUGCGUCCGCUGUGAAAGCCCGGGGCUUAACCCCGGGUCGGCAGUGGAUACGGGCAGGCUAGAGGUAGGUAGGGGAGAAUGGAAUUCCCGGUGUAGCGGUGAAAUGCGCAGAUAUCGGGAGGAACGCCGGUGGCGAAGGCGGUUCUCUGGGCCUGUACUGACGCUGAGGAGCGAAAGCGUGGGGAGCGAACAGG
rnacentral:rRNA from 1 species